UCAGGCGCAUGCGUACUGCUCGGUUGCUAUGGGAUACGUGACGAGUCAACAGCGCGUCCAGCUGUGUGUUGAGUGUCUCAUUUCAGCGUCGUUGGAUACAGAGUUGUGUUAGGAAAUAUCGUUUAUGUUUCAAAUUUUGAGAUACUUUAAUCUACACAAAUACUCAGGACAGUAGAGUUUAUUCAAGAGUGCAAACAUGACAGCAGGUUCAGUGGCAGCACCUCAAAUAAUUCCCAUUCGCAUGCCGCCUCCAGGCAAAGCCAAGCAUGAGAUCGACUCCUGCACCCCUGUCGAGAUCAAAUCCGAAUCCUCAGAUGUGCGUGUCCUGUACACGCUGGACGGCAGUAAGCCGGAGAUG